CUAUUUAGGAGGGUGAGGCAGGAGAAUCGCUUGAACCCAGGAGGCAGAGGUUCUAGUGAGCCGAGAUCGCACCACUGUACUCCAGCCUGGGCACACAGCAAGACACGUUCUCAAAAAAAAAAAAAAAAAAAAAUGAUCAUUCCCAGAGUUCCAGAGGCUGAAGUCUGGGGAUCCAGGUUUCAGCAGGAGCUGGUUCCCCCAGAGGCUCUGAGGAACGUCUGUCACAGGUGUCUCCAGCUUCUGGUGCUGCUAGCAGUCCUGAUGUCCUUGGCAGCAGCAUCGCCAUUAUCUCUGCCUUCUUCUCCAUGGUGUUCUUCCUGCAUUUGUCUUUGUCCAGAUCUCUCCCUUACAUAAGGACACUGGGGUCAUAGUGGGAUGUUGCCUCAUCUUAACCAGUGACAUCUGCCAGCACCCUGUUUCCAAACACAGUCACAUUCUAAGGUUUCCAGGACUAGGACUUCAAAAUGAAUUUAAGAGAUACAUGAUUUAACCCAUAAUGCUGGUAAAACCCUGCAGGUGGCCACUAAAGGUCUGAAUGAGGACAGAACCAAGACCGGCCAGCAGCUCUUUGCUGGGGCAGAGGAGCUAGGUCACCAACAGCCUUGCUUCAUUGGGCUGAUCUGCAUCCAACAAAAUCAAAUCAGCAAACAUAUUAGAUACCUCUAGGUGCAAAGCCUUGACCAAAUGCUACUGGAAGGCUGGGCACACGGUGGCUCAUUCCUGUAAUCCCAGCCCUUUGGGAGGCUGAGGUGGGUCAAUCACGAGGUCAGGAGUUUGAGACCAGCCUGGGCAACAUGGCAAAACCCCAUUGCUACUAAAAAUACAAAAAUUAGCUGGAUGUGGUGGCACGGGCCUGUAAUCCCAGCUACUCAGGAGGCUGAGGCAGGAGAAUCACUUGAACCCGGGAGGCGGAGGUUGAGUGAACUGAGAUCACGCCACUGUACUCCAGCCUGGUGACAGAGCGAAACUUCAUCUCAAAAAAAAAGAGAAAAAGGAAGAAUGCUGCUGGAGAAGUGGCGCUAACAGCGGGUCCCUAGCUGGCGAAGGUUUCCUUGACCUGCAUUGGUGCCCAGGUGGAUCCCUUGCCCCUCCCCUGGCCUCUGGGCCCCUCACUACAGGCACCAGGUGCCACGCCCUCUCCUAGUCACGUGCUGGAGUGACCCUGGAGCCUCUAGCCGGGCCCAGGCCUGCAGACACCCUGCAUGUUGCUGCAUUUCUAGGGGCUCAGAGAAAGAUGCAGACAGUUGUAAUUCCGGGUCACUUGGGAGAAGUGAGUUCAUUUUUUUUCCUGGUUUGUUUACAUGAAGCCUAGAGACAAAACGUUCCACAGUGGAGACCGGAGACGGAAUCACCUCUGAUGUGAAGAUUGCCUUUUCUCAUGUUGUGGAAAGUUCUGUCUGCCCUCCCCGCUCAGAGGAUCAGAUGAAAGCACGUUGGAUGAAGCUGCCACCGACAGUGUGACCAGAAGGAACGCCCUUUCCGGGAGUGACCAGCCUCAGGCUAGAGACAUUAGGGGCAAGCCCAUCCGGUGAGCCUGUUUGAGGACUCCAAGCAAGCCCCUCUGUCCCUCCUGUCAAAGGAGAGCUGGGAGCACGCAGAGCUUUUGGCUUGGGGGUUUCUAAUUGGAUCACUGAAGGGACUGAUGCCUGAAGCCUCGCCAGUCACAACAGAUCCCUUGAAAGGGAACAUCAAGAGACUGUCUCCUGGUAAAGACUGUCUUAUCUUGAGGAAGUGGCUGCAAAAACAGCUAAACGAUGAGAACAAGGAUGUGGAAGUAAGCUGUCCUGCCCCUUGCACCACCAUGGUCCAGGAAGAGGGCGCUACCCUCCCAAGUCCCAGGGAGUGCUAGAUGCUCAGUGCUUCCUACAGAAAGAGAAUGGGUUCCUCAUGGCCUAAAUAUCUCGGCCCCAAUCCCAGAGGCUGCCUGUCCCACACAGCUCAAGAUGCUGCUGUCUAAAAAGCUCUUCUCCUCUCUGGGAACAACACAGGACAGGAGCUGAAGGUCCAAUCGCCCCUGGCUGCCCUCCUGCCCCUCAGUCCCAAGGUCCCUCCUCCCAUGGAACUUUCUCUCCUGUCCACACUACACCCUGCUCUGAGCGGCACGAGCCCACAAUCACCCACAUCCAGGUUCAGCUACGUCCCUAGAGCACAAGUGUGUGGCCCCAGCUGCCCUGCCUGGUGACUGAGAAAAGAACCAAACCCACAGGCCCCAUCAUCACACUGCAAACAUGGACACUGCUGUGUUCUGGUAAUGGGGAGAGCAACGAAGAGGCCACACUGUCCAGGAGCCCUUCCCCAGGAGAAGGACGGCAGGAUCGGGAUGGCAGUUUUCAAAGUGGAUCCUGAGGGGUUGUAGUGUCCUUGGCGCUAAGGGGCACAGGAAGUAUGGGUGCCAACUGGGUGGGAACACGGCCAGAGAGCCAAUACUUCAGACCUCUUGGUGAGGAAAACAUUCCAGAAAUUAGAGGGAUGAUGCAUGACACUCUGAACGUAAUUAAUGCUUUAAAAUAGUUGAAAUGUGGCCGGGUGUGGUGGCUCACACCUGUAAUCCCAGCAAUUUGGGAGACCAACACGGGCGGAUCACAAGGUCAAGAGAUCGAGACCAUCCUGGCCAACAUCCUGGUGAAACCCUGUCUCUACUAAAAAAAAAAUACAAAGAUUAGCUGGGCGUGGUGGUGUGCGCCUGUAGUCCCAGCUACUCAGGAGGCCGAGGCAGGAGAAUUGCUUGAACCCAGGAGGCGCAGGUUGUAGUGAGCCAAGAUUGUGCCACUGCAUUCCAGCCUGGCGCCUGGUGACAAAGCGAGACUCUGUCUCCAAAAAAAAAAAAAAAAAAAAAAAAAAAAAAACAUGGCCAGGCAUAUGGUGGCUCACACCUGUAAUCCCACCAUUUUGGGAGGCAGCUCACUUUGAGCUCAGGAGUUCAAGACCAGUCUGAACAACAUGGCAAAACUCCAUGUCUACCAAAAAAUACAAAAAAUUAGCCAGCAGAGGUAGCAUGCACCUGUAGUCCCAGUUACCUGGGAGGCUGAGAUCAGAGGAUCACUUGAGCCUGGGAAGCAGAGGUUGCAAUGAGGUGAGAUCACACCACUGCGCUCCAGCCUGGGUGGCAGAAUGAAAAUUUGUAUUUCAAAAAAAAAAAAAAAAGAACAAAUGUUGUUACAUAUUUCAUCAUAAUUGAAAAAAAAAGCUAACUGUAAAAAGCAGCUCCCCUGGGGUCUUUUGUGAAAAACAGCAUGGGGCGGCUGUGGCGGGAGAGUGAUCAGAGGGCCCAAGCUGAAUGCAGAGGCCACAGCAUCCGUGCCUCCUACACCACGACUCAGGCAAAGCUACAGAACACAGCAACUGGGCUAAAGCUGCCAGGGGCAAGACUCCCCUAACAAGGAGAGCAAUGCCACCCUCUGCAGACCAACCCCGGAACUAACCUGGGCAGAGCUGCCCGGGGCCACUCACCUUCUUAAAGAGGACAACCCCAUCUUUGUCCAACUGGUAUUUGGAGAACACGUCACUGUUCGAAGUGAUCCCAAACGGUACAUCAUCGAUGGCCUCUGCUGCCUGCAAGAACUGCUUGGCAGCGUCCGACUCCACGUCCU